GUUUAUUUUACCUUGUUGCUUCGGCGGGCCCGCCUUAACUGGCCGCCGGGGGGCUUACGCCCCCGGGCCCGCGCCCGCCGAAGACACCCUCGAACUCUGUCUGAAGAUUGUAGUCUGAGUGAAAAUAUAAAUUAUUUAAAACUUUCAACAACGGAUCUCUUGGUUCCGGCAUCGAUGAAGAACGCAGCGAAAUGCGAUACGUAAUGUGAAUUGCAAAUUCAGUGAAUCAUCGAGUCUUUGAACGCACAUUGCGCCCCCUGGUAUUCCGGGGGGCAUGCCUGUCCGAGCGUCAUUUCUGCCCUCAAGCACGGCUUGUGUGUUGGGCCCCGUCCUCCGAUCCCGGGGGACGGGCCCGAAAGGCAGCGGCGGCACCGCGUCCGGUCCUCGAGCGUAUGGGGCUUUGUCACCCGCUCUGUAGGCCCGGCCGGCGCUUGCCGAUCAACCCAAAUUUUUAUCCAGGUUGACCUCGGAUCAGGUAGGGAUACCCGCUGAACUUAAGCAUAUCA
rnacentral:rRNA from 1 species